rnacentral:tRNA from 1 species
UGAAGAGUAAUGGCGAACGGACAAGGCACCUGCCCGGUAAGCAGAAGGGUGUGGGUUCGAUUCCCGCCCCUGGACACUUUUUAU